AUUUUCCCUUAACUUUCAAUAAGGUUCAUUAUCGAGUAACUUCGCUAAUCACAUCUAAUCAGGAACAAGGCGGCGGUGUUUCCUGUGUUGUGCCGGCUGUCCGUCUUGCCCAUAUCAAUUGCUGUCGGUGACCUCUGCGCCCCUUAUAUACUUAUUUAUUGAUAUCCACGUUUUUACCUCUUCUUGUAAUCUGUUGCUAACGUGCAGCUCUCAUAGUCUUGUGAUGACUCACCGCAUCUUGUUGUUCUCCUCGGUGAUCACGUCUCAUCUCACAUCUAUCUGUCACUGCUGAGUCUGACGGUGUGAACCAAAACUGGCUGUCCCUUGUGUGCAGUGAGCUAUGGCAUACGAUAUAGAAACAUGUCUCACUGGAGCAUGCAAAGUGUGGCCUCACGAGAGUGCUUGCGAGAGAGCGGUCCAGCCAAUCAGCUGCAGCCUAACAAACCCCAUAAGCACCAGGAAUCUAGCUUAGGUGAACCUAGUAUAAUUGGCUGCGCUCUUCAACUGACCCGCUUUAUUUAGUCAUUCUGAAUCUUUCGUAAUUUUACAAUGGAAAACGGUAAUGCUUUUGAUAUCAAAUAAAUAUGGUUAGUACUUUC